ensembl:lincRNA
UUCUCCCAGAUGGAGGAGGCCAUGCUGUGCAGCAGGGUUAGGACAUUAGGCUUUACCUCUGCUUCUUAACAGUAGAAGCAACAUGGCUGACCGCCUCAUGGUCCUGCUGCCAAGAUGGAUUGUAACUUCUCAGAAUGUAAGCCAACCUUCCUUAAACUGCUUUCUGUCAGUAUUUUGUCACAGCACUAAGAAAGAUGAACAAUAUGCUUUUAAAGACUAGAACUUAGGUGGAGUUGUGAUUGUGUAGUCAAUGAGGCUGCAUUCCCUCGUCUGGGUCUAAAUAGGAUAUAUUAAGAUAUACCUAGUCCCAGUCUGUCGCUAAAGACCUAUAUGAUUCAUAACCUUGAGAAACACUAUUUUACUCAAAUUAAGAUGAGCACGGCUCCUGUAUAAACAAGAGUAGGCCUACUGUCUAACACCUACUGGCAGCUCAGGUGUCAUGGAGGCGUUUUCUCUUAGACUGAACAAUUUUCUGUAGCUUCAGGUGUACUGUUAAAUAUAGAUCAGCUGUCUUGAGCUAAAAAGAGAAAUGAAAAAAAAAGGACAGCUUGGACACGUACCUGUGAUUAGGAAGUCAUCCUGGUUGCCCCUUUUCUUUCUCCCAUGUCAACUUUCUCUCAGUUCAUAAACAGGAGCAACAAGUAAAAACAACCAAGGAUACAAGAAUCAGUGCCUCAUACUUAUUUCCUGAAAAAAAACAAAACAAAAAACCAAAAAACCAAAAACCUCUCAAAUGUACAGAACAGCCUGCUAUGGUCUGAAUGUUGACUUUCAAGAAAUGAGUGUAUCAGACUGAACUUCUCAAGUUUACUUGGAGAUUACAUUUCUGCCAGCCUGUGCCCUGCUCAGUCCACUAAAAUGCAAUAGAGGUAAAGAUGGGGCUGGAGGCGUUGCUCAGUGGUAUCUCAUCUGCAAGGAAGGCCCCAGUUCAAUUUUCAGCACCAUGAGGGGAAAAGCAAAGGAAGAAUGGGGAAGCCUAGGGUGCAAGCCUUCUAUACCUCUUCUUCCCUUUGAUCCCUGACACUUCCACGUGAAUAAGUCCAGCUCUCCUGCUAGAGGGUGAGAAGAUAAGUGGCCAUGGGGAGCAAUGACAGAUGACCCUCCAUGAGGACUCAGACAAGUUAGAGAGGCUAUCUGAUGUCAGCAGUGGUGAUCUUGCAGCAGUCCAAAGGUGCACAAGUGAGCCAGGAUGAGACAGAGGAGCUGCCCAGCAGAACUCCGCCCCAGCUGCCGACCCAUGCUGCAGUAGGAAUAUCCUUUUUUUUUCUCUUUAGAGCCAUCAAGCAUUGAGGUGGCUCAUUAUCUAGGAAAAGCUCACAGGUCUGUGAAGUUCAGGAUAAAAUCUUAUCCACUGGCACACAGCUAACUAGCACUCUGAAACAUGAUGAAGAUACACUUGGCAGGAUAAGACAUCCCUCAACUUUACUCAUACUCACUGAGCUGUUCAGUUUUACAGGAGCUAACAAGGGAAAGUUAGAAUUGUAAAAAUACUUAGGUCAUGUAGGGAGAAGGGGCCCAGGAUAGAACAGCCUGCUCCUGAGCUCUUGAGACUUGGAAAUCCCCACCCCCAUGACUAAGUGCUAAAGGUCAAAGGAUACUUCUGGCUGCUUUGUACUUUUCCACUACCUCACCGAAAGUGUUAAAACAACCCUAUAAAACCCUCCUCUCCUCCCAAACCCUUUGCUGUCUCUCUUCCCAUUGAAAGGCAGCAGCCAUACGGUUUCUUCUCAACAGAUAAAUCUCUUGUG